AGGAUGUGAAGCAUAGCCUCACUUGCAUGUCCUAACUUCUUCAGUGGAGCCACAGGUGAUGGGAACAUAUCUGGUAAAGCCUUCAUCAUGAUGAUGGAGGUUAAAAACUAAAAUAGUUUCAUUUGAUUUACUGCAGUCAGUUAUUUAAACAAAAAUGAAUCCGUUCAUGGAAUUCUCCAUUGUCAACAGAGCCAGUAAUUACCUUUGUCCAGCAGCGGUGGCUUCGUGACCUUUUUGAACACUCCAUAAAACUGUGCCUUGUUGUAAAAGGUCCCUCAGCAAGUCAGUUAUGAACAAAUUAUUAUUUUCAAUGACAGCCUAGGAACAGUGGGUUAACUGCCUUGUUCAAGGGCAGAACGACAGAUUUGUACCUCAUCAGCUCAGGGAUUUGAACUUGCAACCUUUCAGUUACUAAUCCAACACUCUAACCACUAGGCUACCCUGCCACGCCUGAGUUAAUCCAUAACCUGACACAGACAGACAGACAGAGUAAGACUGUCUAUCUAGCUGGAGACAUAGGAAGCAUUAGCCUGGUUACUACCAGACCGAAUUCUCGAUUUUGUACAUCUCCUGUAGAGUUUUAUAAUGUCUCGCCUGGUUCUGUAGGCCUCUCAGUAGUUUCUGAUGCCAGAAAACAUCACAAACCCGACCAAUUAACAUUUAAAAAUGUAGACUGAAAUUAAGACCAGUGAUUCCGCUGGUACUACCCCCCCAAACCUCUCAUUCCACAGGAAACACUGAAGACUAAAUAGUCACUUUGUUUCUAGUCCCUCAUUUAGAGUAGUAGUAGAAGUUGCAUUUAUACGGAAACACUAUACACUAUUUCAAUUUGUGUACUUACCACCCAACUGUUCAACCUCUGGGGUGCUGCAUCUAGAUAGUGGGGAUCUCUCCAGGUCCCAGAGGAGGUGCCUGGUCUACACAGGUCUGAUUCUUCACCCUGUAUAAGACAUACAUUUAUUCAAUAGUAAUUAUAAAGGCAAAGAACACCACUGUAACAACAACCUAACAGCAAACACCAAAACAAGUACAUCUGUAGAUACCUGUAUUGUAAUGAUUGCCAGGAAAUGCUACUUUGAUAACAGGAAACACUGUCUGCAUGGUUAGAUUAAAUGUCUCCCAAAUGUCAAAAUCUAACAUUACCUCAUUUUCACCAUGAGUAAAUCUCCAAAUGGUUCUCCUUCUGAAGAAGUGCUCUGGACCGGGAAAGAGAUCACGUAAAUUCUCCUUAGAGAGGCUGGGCAGCAUGUCUGUGCUUAUAUUAGCAGCUGAAGAACACAUUUAACCACAUGGUAAAUAGUUAAGUAAUUAGCAAUAAAAUCAUAGUUUAUAGACGCAAAGUGUCAGGUUGAUAUAGGUUAUGAUACAUUUGCAUACUGUCUUCCCUUUCCAGUUAAUGCAGGAAUGAUUUACCAAGCUAGCUAAUGUUAGCUAACAAAAUUAUACUACUAGUAUAUCAUUAACGUUGAAGUCAAUUACUUUAAACCAAAACGCUAAAUUGUCUCCCAUAUUGAAAACCUUACUGUGAGAUUUGGCCCUGCAUAAUGGGGUGUUAAAGUUUAACCUAUACCUUUAAGCUAAUAAGUAUUGUUGGGUUUUAUUUCACUUAUUAGAUAUGAUGCAUUACCAUUUACAGUAGAUGUAGGCCUAAGUAUGAACGGACUGUAAUGCACUAAGAGGUUUAUAUUGUAUUAACAUAGAUUGAGCAACAUAUAAUAGACAUGACUAACUGGAGGGUUGCUGGCUAGUAGGAGUGUAGGCUGAGUAGACUCGUGACACACACACACACACACAAUGCCUGGUUGUGGGGUCGCUCAAGGACAGGUGUACGGGAGGGGCUGGUAGAAUGGAAGCAGAAACUGUCCUAACUGUAGCAUAAAAACAGGCACUGUCCUUGGGUGUCUGACUCUCGGGUACACACAUGAAGAUAAGCUAGAAGACAACUAUGGUUGGCAACAAAGAUGUGUCUAGAGGCUGGGACCAGCCUGCACGCCAACGAUAGGAUGAGUAAGUUUAAACCACGCUCAUCCUCCCUCUGACAGGCCAGCAGUGAGCUGGAACUAUCUCUGUCAGAGUAUUUAAUGAAGAACUUAUGAUGUCAUUUUCAGUUCUCUGUUUGCCCUGCGGGGUGUUACAGUGAACCCGUAUAUACGGAAAUUGCAUUUGCCAUUUAUUAACUGCUGAAUAAAUAUUGACAUUAAUAUAAAAUAUAAUUGACUCUUUGUUCCUAUAUCAGAUUCGAACACAUGCAGCCUUAACAAUUUGGUGACCCCGACGUGAUCUGAAGGAACUUCGCUGGAAACACCAGCCUUUUGGGCAUGGCUGUCGCCGGACGGGGUCCUCUCACAAAAAGACCAGUCUUCAAAUAACAGGUAAGCAGAUACCUAUUGUGAUAACUGAAAUUCUGCAUAUUGGCAUUAUCCAAAUUUAUUUUGUGAGAUUACCAGUCUGGUGUAAGUCGCUAAAAAUUGUAGAACCAACCUACAAUAUAAUUAUUAUAUAUUAUUAUAUAUAAAAAUUAUAUAGAAAAUAUAAAGGAACAAUGGCGAAUGCAUUUUCAAUUGGCCAAUAAGAAUGAAUGAUUAAGUGUGAGCGAUUGAAUUGUUAUUAAAAGACUGACUCUAUGUAUGUAUGAGAUAUGCAAUAACUGUAAAAGGAGAAUAACAGUUAAAUGAAUAUGUGUGUGUGAGGGUAGACGGCAGCACAACCUCUGUGCGCGAUGGAAUAUUGGAAAUAAGAUAAGUUCAAUCGUGAUCGAAUUGAACGGCAAUAUUCCGGGUUUAAUGUUUGAAACAAUGUGUAUUGGACAUAAGAUAAGUUCACUGGGCAAAUGAGAGCUUGUAUGAGUGAGUGAAAGUGUAUACAGUCACAUAAGGGAUUAUUACAACAACAACAAAAACUAGACCAUUAAUUUAGUAUUACAAAACAAAUUACUAGAGCUCAAGAUAUGGCCCAAAUUGAGUAACGGACUCCCAGUCGACGGGGAGCCCGGUAGAAUAUUGGAAACGCUAAAACGAAAAACAGACAAAAACCUGUUCCGAGUGGAAGCAGGAGGGGGAAGCGCGUAAAGGCAACUUAAAAGAAGCAAUGGAGAAGGCUCAAUUAAAGGAGCAGAAUAACUACAAUGAUAAUUCAACAAACAUGGGUAGUAAAUCCUCAAAGGAGGUGCAGGAAUUAACGGGAGAUGAGCGAUACAUGGAGUUAAAUGUUAUAAAAUAAAUAUUUAUUUCGGUCCAAUUUGGAGAAGGAAGUAUGAAUUUGAUGGAAGUUUGGAUGUGGAAAAGUUGGGACUAAUGGUAAGAAAGUAGAAAGAGAGAGAGGCAGAGUCAACGGUCACAGGAGUACGUGCCUAAUUGUACGACUACAGACAUUGAUAAAUAGGGUUAUUUGCGAGGACUGUCCAUCAGUUCAAUAUCGCAUUGGUGGUUCAGUGAUAGAAGUCUCGCCUGCAAUGUGAGAGACUCGGGUUCGCUUCUCAGCCUAUGCAUCAGUGGAUACAAAUUUUAGGUGCUGAUUGUUAUUCAACUGUUGGUAUGUUUUGCCUGGAAAGAUACGGUUGUUAGUGGUUGUUUAAGAUAUAAACCGAACGUUUUGAUAGCUUGUUUAGUUUAAAUUGAAGAGACAGUUACCGAAAUCUAAUGAAUUAUAAUGAGCGGAUAGGUUUGAAGGGAGUUGUAUUAAGUUGUAUUAAGUAUUUUAUAAAUUUGGCAAUUUACAUGGUACAUUUAAGGUCAUAGACAUUUCAUAAGUGUGAAGCCAAACGAGAGAUACAGUUGUAACAUUGGUUUUAAUCUUGCGAUAGAGGAAAGGCAGAACGCUGUUUGAAAAGAGGUAAUAUUUUUUCCUACGAGUAUGUGGCUGGAAGCGGUUCUGGUCUGAAUAAUGGAAUCGUAAAAGUUUUGUGAUAAAUUCUGGUUAUUGAUUCAUGGUAUUGAUUGUUUAGUAACACCAGUGAAUUGAACAUUGAAUGGAAAAAUAUUAAGUCAUUAAAGUGAAUUACAGGUGGAGUUAAUUUAAUUUUUACAGGGAUGGUGCACAUUAAACACAGUUGUGUAUAAUGGCAGGGUAUUCCUAGCAAACAGAAUGGGCCAGUUUGCAGACAAACUGAAAGGGUUUUAAGGUUUUAAGCAAUCUUGGGUCAAAUUAGUCAAAUAGUAUGUUAAAAUAUGGGGUUUCAUAGAUUGAAGUACAGUAUUUUAUCCAAGGGUAGCGCAUGUUCAAUUAAGUUUAAAACUAAUAAUUGGGGGGAGUACAAUGGAAGUAUAAGCAUUUUUAGGUUUUGUUUGUAGUUAACUUUUGGGUUUCUGAAUCGGUGUAGUAUGAGGAAAUGCUGACCAAGUGGUUAUUUUAUGGAAAAAGGAGCUCUUUGGGGAAAAGUUCCUAGGGACAGGAUAUCUUAAAGGGGUAUACACACAUGGCAUUUUGAAGUUUUGUUUUCUGAGUUUUGAUUAAAGCACGUGAAAUUAUUUUAAUAGGGAAUGUUCUGGGAAAUUGAGAUACAAAAUGUAGAUAAAGGUACUAGCUUCAUUUGUCUAAUAUAGUAAGAAACACGGUUCUGAAAAGGGGGUGGGACUUUUAACCCCUCUGGUGACUUUUCCUGUGUGGUCUGAUCAGCCACAUUGAAAAGCCAUUUGGAUGGUGAAUUUAAGGUCAUUGGUGAUAUUGAUUUUAAGGGAAUUUGUAGAACUGAUAAUUAUGAUGGAGUUAAAGUUCUUAGAGACAAUUGAUCAUUUCAACCAAUGAGAAGACUAAAAGGGCAAAGCCUUAGAAUAAGGGUAGGCUUUCUUAAGUCUAUUUUCCUAGAACAAUAAGGGUACAUUCAUUUUCCUUUAUGGUAGUUCAGAUGUUUAUUUUCCCUUAGGAAGUCAGCUGUGGUUGUAAGCAGUGGAAGAGAUUUAACACAACAAGGCUGUGGAAUUGAUAUACUAGUAUUACUAUAUUUUGUUGUGAAUAAGUUUAAUAAUGGUAGACUUAUGUCAACAGAACAGGGAUACAUGACAUCUGUAGGUGAUCCAGGAUUAUUGAGGGUAUCGAGAUAAAUUUAAGUAGAUAUGCAAUAUCUAGACAGGUUGAUUUUUCUAAAGUUCAGGAGUGCAACCAAGGAGACAAUGAGACAUUUAGUCAAUAUUUGGAAACAACCAUAUUAUGAGAAAAAGCUGGAGACAGAUAGAAGGGCAGACAGAGAGAUCCUCCCCUGCACUGCUGAAACCUUGAGGGUUGGGGAGUAGCAGGAAGAAAGGAGGGGGGCCAGCAGGAGUAGAUAGGAAGAGAAUUUGGUUCACUUAGCUUUAGGAUAUUAAUUCAUGGAGAGACUAUCGGCUCCAUUGGCAGGCAUGUAUUUUAGUUUUGAUUUUAAGUUUAUGUUUGGUAAAUUCGCUAGGAGGAGAUAUGAUCAUUUUGUUGAAAGUAAUUGUUACCCUAACUAAAAGGGCAAUGAAAGCUUAGUUGGUUUCAGGUGUUAGACACUGAACCAUUGCCCAGACACUAUUCUGCACAGUAGGCCGAAAUAGUAGCAUUGACUAGAACCGG